rnacentral:rRNA from 1 species
UACGUAGGGUCCGAGCGUUGUCCGGAAUUAUUGGGCGUAAAGGGCUCGUAGGCGGUCUGUUGCGUCGGGAGUGAAAUCUUACAGCUUAACUGUGAACUUGCUUUCGAUACGGGCAGACUUGAGGGUAUUCAGGGGAGAACGGAAUUCCUGGUGUAGCGGUGAAAUGGCGCAGAUAUCAGGAGGAACACCGGUGGCGAAGGCGGUUCUCUGGGACGUGACUGACGCUGAGACGCGAAAGCGUGGGGAGCGAACAGG